GGCCCAAUGGUCUAGUCGUAUGAUUCGCGCUUCGGGCCGCGAUUGCGCGAGGUCCCGGGUUCAAUUCCCGGUUGGGCCC